rnacentral:rRNA from 1 species
AUACGUAGGGUGCGAGCGUUGUCCGGAAUUACUGGGCGUAAAGAGCUCGUAGGUGGUUUGUCGCGUCGUCUGUGAAAUUCCGGGGCUUAACUCCGGGCGUGCAGGCGAUACGGGCAUAACUUGAGUACUGUAGGGGAGACUGGAAUUCCUGGUGUAGCGGUGAAAUGCGCAGAUAUCAGGAGGAACACCGGUGGCGAAGGCGGGUCUCUGGGCAGUAACUGACGCUGAGGAGCGAAAGCAUGGGUAGCGAACAGGAUUAGAUACCCUGGUAGUCCAUGCCGUAAACGGUGGGCGCUAGGUGUAGGGGUCUUCCACGACUUCUGUGCCGUAGCUAACGCAUUAAGCGCCCCGCCUGGGGAGUACGGCCGCAAGGCUAAAAAUCAAAGGAAUUGACGGG